GAUGAAGAACGUAGCGAAAUGCGAUACGUAAUGUGAAUUGCAGAAUUCAGUGAAUCAUCGAAUCUUUGAACGCACAUUGCGCCUGCCAGCACUCUGGCAGGCAUGCCUGUUCGAGCGUCAUUUCAACCAUCAAGCCCUAGGCUUGCGUUGGAGCCCUGCGGCUGCCGCAGGCCCCUAAAAGCAGUGGCGGGCUCGCUAUCACACCGAGUGCAGUAGAUUACUCUUCGCUCAGGGCGUGUGGCGGGUUCCAGCCGUGAAACCCCCUACUUCUCAAGGUUGACCUCGGAUCAGGUAGGAAUACCCGCUGAACUUAAGCAUAUCAAUAAGCGGAUGA
rnacentral:misc_RNA from 1 species